AAAAAUAGCUCAAUGGUAGAGUAUAACCUUGC
rnacentral:tRNA from 1 species